rnacentral:rRNA from 1 species
GGGAGCUUGCUCCCUGAUGUUAGCGGCGGACGGGUGAGUAACACGUGGGUAACCUGCCUGUAAGACUGGGAUAACUCCGGGAAACCGGGGCUAAUACCGGAUGGUUGUUUGAACCGCAUGGUUCAAACAUAAAAGGUGGCUUCGGCUACCACUUACAGAUGGACCCGCGGCGCAUUAGCUAGUUGGUGAGGUAACGGCUCACCAAGGCAACGAUGCGUAGCCGACCUGAGAGGGUGAUCGGCCACACUGGGACUGAGACACGGCCCAGACUCCUACGGGAGGCAGCAGUAGGGAAUCUUCCGCAAUGGACGAAAGUCUGACGGAGCAACGCCGCGUGAGUGAUGAAGGUUUUCGGAUCGUAAAGCUCUGUUGUUAGGGAAGAACAAGUACCGUUCGAAUAGGGCGGUACCUUGACGGUACCUAACCAGAAAGCCACGGCUAACUACGUGCCAGCAGCCGCGGUAAUACGUAGGUGGCAAGCGUUGUCCGGAAUUAUUGGGCGUAAAGGGCUCGCAGGCG